CGUGACUUAAUAAACAGGCAUAUCAUCAAAAUAAACUAAUAAUAAUUAUCGAUAGGUGCGCAAUUGUUACUCCGGAUGAUGUCAUUGAGAAUGGCGGUAACCAUUUUCAACAUUUUUCAUAUUAUUAAGGUAUGGCAAAACAUUUAUGCCAUAUUUUUUUUCCGUGAUAUAAUGCUUUAUGCCAUGAUUUUUUAUGGGCUCACUCAGAGCGUCGUUACUUCAAUGCGCACUGUUAUCUUGCUGUCAGGCAUUGUUUAUGUCGCCAUGAUAUUAUUGACGUUUACGGUUUUUCUAAUAAUUGUCAAUUCUAAUUUUGAAAUUUCAUGAAUUAAAGUUUAUUAAGUAUCGGUAGGUUUUACGCUUAUAAAUAUUUUGUUUUUUAAUUUACAGUGAAAAUGUUAUUAUUUAUCGUUUCAUAAUAUGUUGGCGUGGUACUUAGUGUACGUAGUGUAAGACGUGUAUUAUUUUCUUCGGAGUCGAUUGUCUCAGUUGUAGGAAAACAUUUGUACGGUUAAAUGUAUUAUAAUAAUUAUAACCUUUGUGAAAUACGAUAUUGGUAAAGUCACAUUACUUUACUUUUGGUUACCUCUCGUGUUGAUUAAAUGACCACGGACUGUAAAACGGUUUUGUUUCCCUGUUUUGCAACGUGGUGUCCUGCUCAUAUUUCGCUGGUUUUGGAUCGUUACAGCGUGCCGCUGUCAAGAGUCUGUGAGCCGUUGCGAUUACAUUUUUAUGGAAACUGCAAUUUCUGUUUAACACAGAGUACGCAUGAAUGAUAUGUA